GCAUGAGCCUGGUGGUUGGGUCCUACACACAGUAGGUAUAAUAAUCAAUAUAACUUGUUUUGACUCAUUGAUACAUGGAGUCAUUAAGCUUCUAGGAACUCCAAAAAAUUCAUGAGAAAGCAGAAGACUGAAGCAAUUUUAACUUACGGAAGUAUGAGUUUAAAAAUUCACUAAUAUAAGAUGGCCGAAUAGGAACAGCUCCAGUCUGCAGCUCCCAGCGUGAGCGACACAGAAGACAGGUGAUUUCUGCAUUUCCAACUGAAGAGAGUAGUGGUUCUCCCAGCACACAGCUUAAGAUCUGAGAACAGAGAGACUGUCUCCUCAAGUGGGUCCCUGACCCCCAAGUACCAUAACUAGGAGGCACCCCCAAGUAGGGGCAGACUGACACCUCACACGGCCAGGUACUCCUCUGAGACAAAACUUCCAGAGGAACGAUCAGGCAGCAACAUUUGCUGUUCACCAAUAUCCGCUGUUCUGCAGCCUCCGCUACUGAGACCCAGGCAAACAGGGUCUGGGGUGGACCUCCAGCAAACUCCAACAGACCUGCAGCCGAGGGUCCUGACUGUUAGAAGGAAAACUAACAAACAGAAAGGACAUCCACACCAAAACCCAUCUGUACGUCACCAUCAUCAAAGACCAAAGGUAGAUAAAACCACAAAGAUGGGGAAAAAACAGAGCAGAAAAACUGAAAAUUCUAAAAUUCAGAGUGCCUCUCCUCCUCCAAAGGAACGCAGCUCCUCACCAGCAACGGAAAAAAGCUGGACAGAGAAUGACUUUGAUGACUUGAGAGAAGAAGGCUUCAGACGAUCAAACUACUCCAAGCUAAAGGAGGAAGUUCAAACCCAUGGCAAAGAAGUUAAAAACCUCGAAAAAAGAUUAGACGAAUGGCUAACUAGAAUAACCAAUGCAGAGAAGUCCUUAAAAGACCUGAUGGAGCUGAAAACCAUGGCACGAGAACUACGUGACAAAUGCACAAGCCUCAGUAGCUGAUUCGAUCAACUGGAAUCAGCUUGGAAGAAAGGGUAUCAGUGAUGGAAGAUCAAAUGAAUGAAAUGAAGUGAGAAGAGAAGCUUAGAGAAAAAAGAAUAAAAAGAAAUGAACAAAGCCUCCAAGAAAUAUGGCACUAUGUGAAAAGACCAAAUCUAUGUCUGAUUGGUGUACCUGAAAGUGACAGGGAGAAUGGAACCAAGUUAGAAAACACUCUGCAGGAUAUUAUCCAGGAGAACUUCCCCAAUCUAGCAAGGCAGGCCAACAUUCAAAUUCAGGAAAUACAGACAACGCCACAAAGAUACUCCUCGAGAAGAUCAACUCCAAGACAUAUAAUUGUCAAAUUCACCAAAGUUGAAAUGAAGGAAAAAAUAUUUAGGGCAGCCAGAGAGGGUUACCCACAAAGGGAAGCCCAUCAGACUAACAGCUGAUAUCUAGGCAGAAACUCUACAAGCCAAAAGAGAGUGGGGGCCAAUAUUCAACAUUCUUAAAGAAAAGAAUUUUCAACCCAGAAUUUCAUAUCCAGCCAAACUAAGCUUCAUAACUGAAGGAGAAAUAAAAUCCUUUACAGA
rnacentral:lncRNA from 1 species